CAAACUGAGAAGUAGAAAGCAAAAGCUGUACUUUUUGCAUCAUGGUCUAUAGAGAGCCACACCAAAGUUGGUUAUUCCCGAAAGCUCAGGAGCUACUUAAGAUGUAAUGUGGUCUGUUACAUAAUACCUGCUAAGCGUUAAAGUAGUGGCGACAUACCAAUCGCAUGGGCUGAUAGCUGGUUGUUACGGAAACAUACUUUAGUAUGGGGAGGCUGAAUUUAGCUUUCACCAAGUUUUUUAGUGAAAAGCAAAGCAGUUUUAUUCGGGCUGUUGGGGAUAAGCUGAGCAGGAUAAAAAUGCAUAGAUCAAUGUGGUAGGGUUAGUAGUGCCCAGCCUUAAAAGUUUUGUCCAAAAUAAUUAUGUAUCAAGAUUAAUAAUAUUAUACGUAACCCGCCCAAUUAAUUUUUAUGUGUGGAUUAGUAUAGAAUGAGUAGCUGCUAUAUAUAGCGUAGGUUGGAAAUCACCAUAAAAAUUUGCCAUUUAAAGCUGUGGAUAAAAGUAUAGGUUUUUCUAAGGAACUCGGCAAAUAUUUUCUGCGCCUGUUUAACAAAAACAUCUCUUCUAGCAUGAUAUUAGAAGUAGGCCCUGCCCGGUGCCUUACGAGGUAAACGGCGGUGUUAAACCUUAAAGUAGCGUGAUAAGUCGGCCUUUAAUUGGGGUCUGGUAUGAAGGGGUUGACGUCGGAAAAACUGUCUCAGAAAAACUAAGUGAAAUUUACUUUUAAGUGAAAAGGCUUAAAUAAAAGUAAAAGACGAGAAGGCCCUGUCGAGCUUGAGGGAUUUGAAUGUUUAUUAAACGUGAUUAGGAGUUUGGCUGGGGCAGCAAUGGAGGUAGCCUCCGUUUUUAAUGCAAAGAUCCAUUAUGUUUGAAAUAAUGAAAAAAGGAAAAAGUUACCGCAGGGAUAACAGCACAAGACCGCCUCAGAGGUCGUAUCGAAGGCGGUAAGUGUGACCUCGAUGUUGGAUUAGGGUAAACCUCUUUGUGCAGGAGCAAAGCGGGUAGGACUGUUCUUCCUUUAAUCCCCUACAUGAUCUGAGUUAAGACCGGCGUGAGCUAGGUCGGUUUCUAUCUUUAAAAAAAGCUGGCUCUCGUACGAAAGGAUCGAGGUGGCUGAGGGUUUAAGCUUAUAUUUCACCCCCAUAUUAAAUUAUUAACCAGUGGUCAGUAGGAGGGGGUAUAUGAUGGUACCUGCAGUUGCAUGGAUUACAUUCU
rnacentral:rRNA from 1 species